CCAAUAGCGUAUAUUAAAGUUGUUGCAGUUAAAAAGCUCGUAGUUGAAUUUCGGGAUUAGUAGGUUGGUCGUGCCUCUGGUAUGUACUCGCCUUACUGGUUCCUCCUUCUUGAAGAACUGUAAUGCCAUUAAUUUGGUGUUGCAGGGAAACAGGACUGUUACUUUGAAAAAAUUAGAGUGUUUAAAGCAGGCCAACGCCUGAAUACAUUAGCAUGGAAUAAUGAAAUAGGACGUUGAUCCUAUUUUGUUGGUUUCUAGGAUUGACGUAAUGAUUAAUAGGGAUAGUUGGGGGCAUUAAUAUUCAAUUGUCAGAGGUGAAAUUCUUGGAUUUAUUGAAGACUAACUACUGCGAAAGCAUUUGCCAAGGAUGUUUUCAUUAAUCAAGAACGAAAGUUAGGGGAUCGAAGACGAUCAGAUACCGUCGUAGUCUUAACCAUAAACUAUGCCGACUAGGGAUCGGAUGAUGUUAAUUUUUUAAUGACUCAUUCGGCGCCUUACG
rnacentral:rRNA from 1 species